rnacentral:rRNA from 1 species
ACAAUGCGGAGGAAGGCGGGGAUGACGUCAAAUCAUCAUGCCCCUUAUGACCUGGGCUACACACGUACUACAAUGGGAGUUAAUAGACGGAAGCGAGAUCGCGAGAUGGAGCAAACCCGAGAAACACUCUCUCAGUUCGGAUCGUAGGCUGCAACUCGCCUACGUGAAGUCGGAAUCGCUAGUAAUCGCAGGUCAGCAUACUGCGGUGAAUACGUUCCCGGGCCUUGUACACACCGCCCGUCACACCACGAAAGUCGGAAGUGCCCAAAGCCGGUGGGGUAACCUUCGGGAGCCAGCCGUCUAAGGUAAAGUCGAUGAUUGGGGUGAAGUCGUAACAAGGUAGCCGUAUCGGAAGGUGCGGCUGGAU